GACGAACGCUGGCGGCGUGCUUAACACAUGCAAGUCGAACGGAAAGGCCCUGCUUUUGUGGGGUGCUCGAGUGGCGAACGGGUGAGUAACACGUGAGUAACCUGCCCUUGACUUUGGGAUAACUUCAGGAAACUGGGGCUAAUACCGGAUAGGAGCUCCUGCUGCAUGGUGGGGGUUGGAAAGUUUCGGCGGUUGGGGAUGGACUCGCGGCUUAUCAGCUUGUUGGUGGGGUAGUGGCUUACCAAGGCUUUGACGGGUAGCCGGCCUGAGAGGGUGAUCGGCCACAUUGGGACUGAGAUACGGCCCAGACUCCUACGGGAGGCAGCAGUGGGGAAUAUUGCACAAUGGGCGGAAGCCUGAUGCAGCAACGCCACGUGCGGGAUGACGGCCUUCGGGUUGUAAACCGCUUUCGCCUGUGACGAAGCGUGAGUGACGGUAAUGGGUAAAGAAGCACCGGCUAACUACGUG
rnacentral:rRNA from 1 species